AUCCUCUGGUUUCUCUUCAGAUCGUACAAACCUUUCUCCUUUUACUAAAGAUUUCUGUGGAAAGGGGAAAAAAAGAAAAAAAUGUAAAUAUAUCCUGUGAAUACAUCCCAACAAGUGUG